GCAGUCGUGGCCGAGUGGUUAAGGCGGUGGACUAGAAAUCUAUUGGGGUCUUCCCGCACAGGUUCGAAUCCUGUCGACUGCG
rfam:Ixodes scapularis strain Wikel colony gcontig_1108379793756, whole genome shotgun sequence.